rnacentral:rRNA from 1 species
GUGGGGAAUCUUGGACAAUGGGGGCAACCCUGAUCCAGCGACGCCGCGUGGGUGAUGAAGGCCUUCGGGUUGUAAAGCCCUUUUGCCGGGGACGAUGAUGACGGUACCCGGCGAAUAAGCACCGGCUAACUCCGUGCCAGCAGCCGCGGUAAUACGGAGGGUGCUAGCGUUGUUCGGAAUUACUGGGCGUAAAGGGCGCGUAGGCGGCCGUUUGCGUCGGAUGUGAAAGCCCGGGGCUCAACCUCGGAACGGCAUCCGAUACGGGGCGGCUGGAGACCGGGAGAGGAGGGUGGAAUAGCCAGUGUAGAGGUGAAAUUCGUAGAUAUUGGCUGGAACACCGGUGGCGAAAGCGGCUCUCUGGCCCGGAUCUGACGCUGAGGCGCGAAAGCGUGGGGAGCAAACAGGAUUAGAAACCCCAGUAGUCC